UCAACCAAGCUUACGAGUUUCAGAAUUUCAAAUCUAGAGUGUUCCUAUACACCACACCAAAAGGGUCUACGUGUAGAGUCAAGAACCACCAAAUCAGAUUCUGCCAACAUUGAUGAACUUGAUGUACAAAUCACAGAAUUCGUAUCUGUAUAUAUUAAAUAUUUCACAUCAUUUAGAAGUGGGACAAACAUGAUAAUAUAAAAAAUAAUAAUGGUUACAUAAUAAAGGACUGAAUCUUCUAUAUAACAAGACAUAAUCAAAAUGAUUUGUUUAUAUUUACAGCAUGGCUUUCUUAUUGGUUGGCUAUGCAGGAGCAGCUACAAUUGCAGCACUCCUCUGCAUGUUACGCUUCUUCUAUCUCAGACGAUGUUGCUCGAACCCCAUCUUCACCGAAUACCCUUUUGUCGGCAUGCUACCACAUGUUCUUUGCAAUUUGUGGCAUGCCCAUGAUUAUUCAACUCAGGUUUUGAAACAACAUGGCGGCACUGGUGAGUUCGUUGGACCAUGGUUUACCGGUAUGAACUACAUGCUCACCUGUGAUCCCCUCAACGUGCACCAUAUGUUGAGCAAAAAUUUCCGUAACUACGUCAAGGGACCCGAGUUUCGGGAGAUUUUUCAAGCUUUCGGAGAUGGCAUUUUCACUGCUGAUGCAGAAGCUUGGAAAUACAGCAGAGAUCUCUUCCAUUCUUUGCUCAAGCAUAAAAGCUUCGAAGUGUUUCUGGAGAAAACUAUUCAGAAGAAGGUGCAGAAUAGCCUACUUCCUUUAUUGAAUCACGUGCAAGACCAAGGGAGGGUGGUGGAUCUUCAAGAUGUCUUCAAUCGCUUCACUUUCGAUAACAUAUGUUCUACAGUUCUUGGUCGUGACCCCGAAUGCCUUUCCAUUGAUUUUCCAGAAGUUGCAAUCGAGAAGGCUUUUAACCAAGCAGAAGAGUCCAUAUUCUACAGACACGUAGUGCCGGGAAGUGUCUGGAAGCUCCAGAAAUGGCUCCAAAUUGGUCAAGAGAAGAAGAUGACAGAAUCAUGCAUAAUACUUGAUGAGUUCAUAUAUUCAUGCAUAGCGUCCAAGAGAGAAGAUCUAAGCAGGUAUGAGGAAAAUGAAACGGGAGAAACUUUUCAUGUUGACUUGUUAACAACUUUGAUGAGAGAAGGAAAGGGAAAAGGAGAAGCACAUGAAGAUAUAUUUCUAAGAGAUGCUGUGUUCAAUCUUUUUGUGGCUGGGAGAGAUACCAUAACUUCAGCUCUCACGUGGUUCUUCUGGCUUGUUGCUACAAACCCUUUGGUGGAAGCGAAGAUUGUUGAAGAGAUGAAUGAAAAGUUUGGAAGCAAUGAAAAGACAGUAUUAAGUGCAGAGGAGGUGAAAAAGCUGGUUUAUCUGCAUGGUGCUAUGUGUGAAACGUUGAGGCUGUUUCCUCCUAUACCAUUCGAACGCAAGAAAGCAAUUGAAGCUGACGUGCUUCCUAGUGGGCAUGGUGUUAAUCCGAGAACAAAGAUAUUACUAUUUUUGUAUGCAAUGGGAAGAGUUGAAGAAAUAUGGGGAGAAGAUUGCAUGGAGAUGAAGCCAGAGAGAUGGAUCUCAGAGAAAGGAGGUAUUGUUCAUGUACCAUCUUACAAAUUCAUUGCUUUCAAUGCAGGACCUCGAAAUUGCUUGGGGAAAGACUUGUCCUUUAUCCAAUUGAAGAUGGUGGCAGCAGCUAUUUUGCGCAGUUACCAUGUUCAACUGGUGGAGGGUUAUGUUGCAACUCCUACACUCUCCAUUGUUCUUCUUAUGAAGGAUGGUUUGAAGGUAAAUAUAACGAAAAGAAAGUCUUAGUUUGACUUCAAAAUUCGGACAUCAAACUUGGUAAAAAAGUAUGUCUUGUCGGUUGUGUAAUGUGUUCUGUCUGUAUCAUUUACAGCAUUUCGUUUCGGACAAUGAUAUUUUAACACUAUUUUUUGACAUUAUUGUGACACUGCACACGUGUCAAGAUGUGAUUGGACGAUUUCAAAUUAAAAAAGUUGAGGCAGGGAUAUAUUUGGAAGAGAAAAACCAAAAUUUGUUUUUUAAUUUGAAAUCGUCCAACCAUAUUUUGACACGUGUGCAGUAUCAAAAUGGUGUCAAAAAAUGAUGUUAAAAUUUUAUUUUCCUUUCGUUUCUGAUAAUAACAAAGGGAAAUAAUCAUUUUCAGGAUAAUGAUAUUUUAACAACAUUUUUUGACAACUUUUUUAACAACUGGACAUACAUGUUAUUAUUUUAUUGGUCUAUUUAAAUUUAUGUUUAAAAAAUAUUUAAAACGGACUAAUCACAAACUGUCAUGUAUGAAUUGUCAAAAAAUUAUUAAAAAAGUAUUGUUAAAAGAAGUUUUUCUUUUCAAUAACUUCACCAUAAUUUGUGUGUAUACCUUACCAUUUUAUGGAGAAUAUUAUUGAGAUUUUUCAGAUUAAGAUAUAUCUCUAAUUAUAAGUGAAUUUAAAUUUAACUUAUUCUCGUCAAACCAACUUAAAGACAAAAAAUACUUCCAUGUGUAUAUUUGAAAUAGACCAAAUAUUUAUUCAAUAUGAUAUCUUCAACGUUUAAGACUUAUAUUUUCGACAUUCAUAAUUACAUUACAUGGUUAUAGAAAAAUAUGAAGCAUUAAAAGAUAUUCAUAAUUUAUUCUAUGAAAAAAAUCAUAUAAUAUUAACAAAUUAAUAUGUCAAAUAUAUUAGCCAUUAGAAACAUAUUAGCCAUUAAAAAAAAUUGUUGAUAACAGGGAACAGAUUCUAGUAAUUUAUGUGAAAAUUGACAUUUAGUUGAUUAUGACUCUAAAUAUAAAAUGCCAUAUUUUAUGUUUUGGUUAGAAUUAUAAUAUAUGGUGUUUUUCUUUAUUUAAGAAAAAUCUUGUUCUUGAAACUUAAAAAUUGGGAAGAGUCACAAUACCUAGACAUCAUAAGGUUGUAUGUAUAUUCCGAUAUAAUGAUUUAAUAUAUAUUUUUAUUAUAGUUCUUUCAUUUUUCUAUUUCUGCUUCUCUUUUUCAUUUUUGUCACAUUUUUUUUUAUAUCUACGCCUUGUAUAUUUCUUUCUACUAUACACCAAAAAUAGGCAUUGCAUCAUACAAUGUCAUUCUUUAUUAUGAUUUAAGUUUCAUUUGUUUCUUGUAUGGUUAUUUAAUUAAUAUACAAGCAUUUCAAAUCUAUGGCAUGUUAGUUAGGUCUUAAUUAGCUGGAAUUCAUUUAACAUGCAUUCUAUGAAUGUAAUAUUUUCUUAAUUGUAGUCAUAUUUUAAUUUGGAUAAGAUCUCAAAUGGGUAUUUAUAAAAAUAAAUAUAAAUUUACUGUAUUUAUAAUUUUUACGAUUUUUUUUCUAAUCAUAGGUCCUACAUCAUUUUCUAUCUAUUUUAAGAGCUUGUCCUGGAAUACGAUGAAAUGGAAACAUAGAAGAAAAAUAUUAAAUCUAUUUACAAAAGAUAGUAUUGCAUCCAACCUAAUAUCUCAAAGCAUUAAAUGUGAGUCAAUUUUUCUUCCAUAUUUAUAUAUAUAUGUACGGUUGAAGUUACGUAUUUCGUAUUUCUUUUCUAAUAACUUGGUAUUUAUUUCACUGAUAUUUGUAAAAACGUAUAUGUGAUGUGAUAUGUUAACGUUUCGUGUACUAGCUACUUAACCGAUUGAGGUUACAAUAAAUUUUCAGAAUAAUAUCUCAUGGAUCUCAAAAAUGCCAUCAACACCUAAAUAAAAAUAAAAAGAGAUACAAAUAAUAAGAAAUUUACAAUAGCUUAGAAAGAAAAGUGUCAAGAAGGUAUUUGCAAAAAAAAAAAUAAAAAAAAUCUAAAUUUAUCAUAUGAAGAUAAAGAAAAUGAGUGAUAAUAUAUCCGAAAUAUUUGAAAUUGAAAAUGAGUGUAAACAUUGGCAUAGAAAAAAAAUCUAUUCACAUUUAAAUUUUUUAUAUUCAUUUAAUAUUAUUUUUAGUUAUUUUUUACUUUUAAAAAAAAAUAUAAAAAUUUACACUUUUAUUUUACUCUAAUAGUCUGUUAAAUAAAUGUAAAAAUAUAUUAUAUACUAUUUCACGUAGGAAAAGCUACUCUAAACAAACUCAAAUGAAAAUUAAAUUUCAAAUCAAAAUAAUUGGUGUAAAUUAAAUAUUAAUAAGAUAACUUUUCCAAACCAAUAUGUGCUAUUUCUGUCUGAAAACUUCAACAAUAAUUAAUUAAUGGAUUAAUAUUAGGAUCACACACUUUUAUACCUAUUUUACAUACAAAAUAAGAUGGUUAUAAAAAAUAAAUUUUUAUAUUUAAAAAAAAAAAAUUUUUAAAUAAAUAUAAAAGUUUAGAAAAAAAAUUCUUUAACCACUCUUUUUUAAUAAUUUUUUUACAACGUAUUUUUAUUCAUUUGUUUUAAAUAUUUUAUUAAUAUAAAUUUAAAUAAAGUAAUAAAAUGAUGACACUGUUCAAUUAUGAAAAAAAUUCUUAAAAUAUCAUUAUUAAAAAAUUUAUCAACGUGAAAGGAUAAUUUUUUUUGAAAAUAAUAUUUUAACACCAUUUUUUGAUACUAUUUUGACACUGCACACGUGUUAAAAUAUGGUUGGACGAUUUCAAAUUAAAAAAAGGUGAACCAAAGACAUAUUUGAAAAAGAAAAAUCAAAGUUUUUUUUUAAUUUAAAAUCGUCCAAUCAUAUUUUGACACGUGUGUAGUGUCAAAAUUUUGUAAAAAAAAUGAUGUUAAAAUACCAUUUUCCUUUUUUUCUAUAUAAGAUGACAACAAAGUCAGAAAGAUUAUCACAACACAACCAAAUAGCUUUUGUUUUGCUGAUUAAUGUAUAACGGCCAUGCUUUGCUAUGAAACAGCAGCAACAGUUGCAGCAUUCUUCUGCAUCAUCUAUUUCUUCCAUCGGAGAUUCCCUCUCCUCACUGACUACCCCAUCAUCGGAAGGCUACCGGAGGUACUCUGCAAUCUGUGGCGCAUCCAUGAUUUUACAGUUCAGGUGCUCAAAUCACGUGGGGCCACUACUCAGCUCACUGCACCUUGGUUUACCAAUAUCAACUAUUUGGUCACUACCGACCCUCUCAACGUGCAUCAUGUCUUGACCAAGAAUUUCAACAACUAUGUCAAAGGACCAGAAUGUCGUGAGAUUUUAGAGGCUUUCGGACAUGGGAUAUUUGCUGCUGAUGAAGAAGCAUGGAAAUACAACAGGGAUCUCUUCCAUUCCCUCUUUAAACACAGAAGCUUCGAGGAGUUUCUGGAGAAAACCAUUCGGAAGAAGGUGCAGAAUAGUCUACUUGUCGUGUUGGAUCAUGUGCAACAACAAGGGAGCGUGGUGGAUCUUCAAGAUGUCUUCAGUCGCUUCACUUUCGAUAACAUAUGUUCUAUAGUUCUUGGAUACGACCCUAAUUGCCUUUCCCUUGAUUUUCCACAAGUUGCAAUCGAGAAGGCUUUUCAUGAAAUAGAGGAGUCCGUUUUCUACAGAAAUAUAUUGCCAAAGAGUCUUUGGAAGCUGCAGAAAUGGCUUCAGAUUGGUAAAGAGAAGAAGAUGACAGAAGCAUGCAUAACAAUUGAUGAGUUCAUAUAUUCAUGCAUAGCGUCUAAGAAAGAAGAUCUAAGCAGGUACGAGGAAAACGAAACGGGAGAAACUUUUCAUGUUGAUUUGUUAACAACUUUGAUGAGAGAAGGAAAGGGAAAAGGAGAAGCACAUGAAGAUAUAUUUCUAAGGGAUGCUGUGUUCAAUCUUUUUGUGGCUGGGAGAGAUACCUUAACUUCAGCUCUCACAUGGUUCUUUUGGCUUGUUGCUACAAACCCUUUAGUGGAAGACAAGAUUGUUGAAGAGAUGAAUGAAAAGCUUGGAAGCAAUGAGAAGACAGUUUUAAGUGCAGAGGAGGUGAAAAAGCUGGUUUAUCUACACGGUGCUAUAUGUGAAUCAUUGAGGCUGUUUCCUCCCAUACCCUUCCAACGCAAGGAAGCACUUAAAGCUGACGUGCUUCCUAGUGGUCAUGGUGUUAAUCCCAACACAGUUAUACUUUUUUGUUUGUAUUCAAUGGGGAGAUAUGAGGAAAUAUGGGGAAAAGAUUGCAUGGAGUUCAAGCCAGAAAGAUGGAUAUCAGAAAAAGGAGGUAAUGUUUAUGUACCAUCUUACAAAUUCAUUGCUUUCAAUGCAGGACCAAGAACUUGCUUGGGGAAAAACUCGUCCUUUGUUCAAAUGAAGAUGGUGGCAACUGCAAUUUUGCACAAGUAUCAUGUCGAAGUGGUGGAAGGUUGUAUUGUUAAGCCAAACCUUUCAAUCGUUCUUCUGAUGAAGGAUGGUUUAAAGGUUAAGAUAAGAAAAAGAGAAACUUAAUUUGAGUUACGUGGGAAUUUCUGUGACAGAUUGUAUAAUAAAUCUUAUUACGAGGAAAUGUGUUGGUUAAGAGUUACUUUAAUGAUAAAAGUAGCUUGUUGUUUUAUUAACAAUGAUAUAUUAAAGCUUAAUUUUGAGACUGACGUGAUGUUUUAUUUUUGAGUUAGAAUUUUUUUCUUUUUAAGUUACUGACUUGGAAUUUGCGAGUUUGAAAAACAAAACAAAAAUUGCUUUUUUUGAAUGACAUGACUUCACAUGUUAAAGAACGAUUAAUGUUGCUUCUGUUGCUGUUCCUUUUUUGUGUGCUUGCUCUUUUAAAUCCUGUUUUUUUGUUCUUUUGCUGUGUCUUCGAUUGAACAAAGCAUAGAAAAAAAAAUUUAGAUGUCCUGUGCGAGUAACGACGAAGUCCUUCUUUUUUUUUUUUCACCAUCAUUAACUCAACUUUUCUAAAUUUAUCUAUGAUUCUUUUUCAUGGCCUAAUCUAUCAUAAUUCAUAAUUAACAUUAAAUACUUUCGUUGGAUCCUGUUUUUGCAUAAUAUUUAAAUGAGAACAAGUUUGCUACAUAAGUGAGGAGUAACACAACAUUUUGUUUAGUAGUUUAACAAAAUUUCAUUCGCUAAAACUUUUAACAACAACCAAACUAAUGGGAUUUAAUUCAUAUUUAUCACAAAGAUUAUCAUAUUAAUCAUGCAAAAACAUAAAGUAGUUGAAUAUGAUAAUAUGUUUCUAAAAAAAAUUGUCAAAACUGAUAUGAAAGAGAAAUGGGGAAUUAUGAACAAAUAAGUGGAUAACACUGAUGAAUUUUUGUACAUGUUUAAUAAAAUGUAAUCCAAUGAAAAUGGUAAAAACAACAAGUGAGAUGUAAUUUAUAUCUAUCGUGAAGGUUAUUAAGGUGAUCAUAUAAGAACAUAAAAUGGUUAAAUAUGUCAAGCUUCUCUUGUCGAGCUGGCCGAGCUUCUCUCCUGCCAACUUUAUUGAGCUUGCAAGUUUUAGUCAAUUUCUCUCCUGUCAAAUUUAGCCAAAUUUCUUUUCUAUUUAAAUUAUCGAAAUUCUCUUUUAUUUAAAUUACUAAGGUUUGCUCCUAUCACGCUUUUCGAGCUUCUUUCUUAUCGAGUAGAAACAAUAGACAAAAUAACUAUAUGACUUUGUUUUGAACCGAACUUCUCUCCAUCACUAGGGAUUUUUGAUUUCAAACUUCAAAUUUAAACUUUCAAGUCAAAUAUUUUCUUGUGGUAUGAUGUUGUUUAUGGCUUGAAGUACAAUUUUAAACUUUGUUUAUAUUGUUCUUAUUUAGAUUUUUGACUAAAAACAACAACUUUUGGAGUUUGUAAUAUUUGAUUAUUAAAGUACUAAUGGUAAUAGGUUUGGACAAGCCACCAACUGAUAGGUUGUGAGCGGAUCCAUAUAGUCAGCCAUUGAAGAUAAUUAAAAGUUAAUUAAUGGGAUAACAGUCAUUGAUCGACGGUUAACAAAUAUAUUAACAACUAUUAAUGGUCAAUUAAUAGGAUAAAUUGUCAUAAGCUCUAUAAAUACAUGUUUGACAUGGAAAUAAACACACUUUUUUCAUGAUUUAAUUCUAUAGACCUUUUUAUGAAACAUAUCUAAUUUCAAUGUUAUUUUGUAAGUCAAAUUCUUGAAACAUCAAUUGAUUCUAGAAAGAAAAUUAAGAAGUGUGAACGAUUGUGACCACGAGAGCAAGUUAAGUAAAGAAGACUGAUGCUAAACAACAAAAACAAUUGCUAUAAGAAAUAAGUCUUUUAACAAAUGAAAUUAGUAACCGAGAAAAGUUGGUCAUUUGUGAUUGAAAUAAUAUUGAAUAUUGAAUGAUAUUUGCCGCAAACCUAUUACCAGAUAGAAAUAGCGAUUGAAAAUUAAAUUUUAGUCACUAAUUAAUUGACGGUUUUUUAUAUCAAAUGAAAAUAAAGUUUUAGUGAUUGAAUUUUCAACUAAUAGAAAUCUUGUAUUAGUGAUCGAAAAUUCGAUAGUCACUAAAUAUGUAUAACAUGAUAGUUAGCGACAAAAGGUUUUUGUUGUUAAAUAUAGUGUUUUUAGUUAUUACAUUAGCGAACAAGUUAAAUAUUAAUUUAGUGGCAAAAACAUUUUUUUUUGCUAAAUAUGUAUAUUUUGGUAAUUAGUGGUUGAAAAAUUUGAAUUUUUCGUGACCGAAUUAGCGAUAAAAAAUUUUGUUUAUCACUAAAUAAUUUUAAGUUUUAAUUAGUUACCGAUGACCAAAUAAAUUUUUAAUGAUAUUGAUUUGUUUAGAAACAGAAGAUGCUAUAAAGUCUUCUUCUCUACAGAAAUACUUUCAUAUUAUGUAAUGAACAUAUUUAAAUAUACGAUCAUUUGAAAACUAUAAAUAUUCAUAUUACAUGUUAAUUAUGCCUUAAUUUGUUACAAUUCAUUUAACAUGCAUUUAUGAAUGUAAUAUUCUCUUAAUUAUGUCUCAUAUUUUAAUUUGGACAUAAGAUCAGAAAUCCUUAUUUAGAGAAAUAAAUAUAAAUUUACUAUAUUCUUUGGAUUGUUUACUAUAUUUUUCUAAUCAUAGGCCCUAGACCGUUAUCUCUCUAUUUUACGAGCUGAUUCUGGAAUACAAUGAAAUGGAAACAUAGAAUAAGAAUAUUAAAUCUAUUUACAAAUGAAUUUAAUAUUGCAUCCAACUCAAUAUCUUAAAGCAUUAAAUGCGAGUCAUUUUUCUUCCAUAUAUACGGUUCAAUUUUAGUAUUUUUUUUUAAGAAUUCCGAUAUCUUAACCAUUUUUUAUAACAAUAUUUUAUAAUAGACUACAUGUUCCUAAUUUAUCAGUCUGUUUAUAAAUUAUUGGACUAAUCACAACCUACAACUUAAGAUAUUGUAAAAAAAUUAUAAAACAAAAAUUGGUAAAAAAAUAUUCUUCUUUUUUUAAUAACUUGCCAUGUAUUUUAUUGAUAUUUGUAAAAACUUAAAUGUGAAUAGAUAUGAUAUGUUAAGGUUUCGUGUAUACCUACUUAACCAAUUGAUGUUACAAUAAAUGUUCAUAUAGUAAGACAGCUAAAAAAGACAAUAAUUAAUACCUAAUAGAUAUUUAAAAGUGUCCAUCAUCAUCUAAAUAAAAAGGAAAAAAUUGUCUUUAACAACUUUUUUUUGACAAUUUUUUUUAUAACGCAUACGUGACAGUUUGUGAUUGGUCUGUUUCAAAUAUUUUUUUAGAAUAAAUUCAAACAGGCCAAUAGAAUUGUAACACGUAUCCUGUUGUCAAAAAGUUGUUAAAAAAAAUUGUUAAAAUAUCAUUGUCCAAAUAAAAAAGAAAAAAUAAUAAUAAAUUUACAAGAGCUUAGACAAAGAGUUUAAAAAAGGUGUUUGCCAAAAAAUAAAAUAAAAUAAUCUAAAUUUCAUUAUACGAAGACAAAAGAAAACGAGGGAUAUGCAUAUAUUCAAAAUAUUUGAAAUUGAAAAUAAGUGGGAUUAUAAUAGAGAAGAACUAUAGUCCAGUCAACUCAAAUAAAAAAUGAGAUUAAAUUCUAAUUGGUGCAAAAUCAACAAUUUUAAAUAUACACUGAUAAUUUUGAAUGAGAUAACACUAUAAGAAAAAUAUAUAUUAGAGUUGGUAAAAACUAACGCAAAAGUAGAGAAAUAAAUACUAAUAAUACUUAUUUUAAAUAAAAAGUACUUCAACCAAAUUCAAUAUAAAACUAAAAACGUUAUAAUGGAUAAAAGAGAUGAAAAAAGUGUAGAUGAAUAUAAAUAAAAGAUAUGUUUGUUGAUGAAGAAAAUGUAUUUGAAUAAAAAAUAUGAACAUGUAAAGAUUUAUAUAAAAAAUAAAAACCUAUAAGCAAAGAUAUUAUCUUAAACUUAAAUAUUAAGACAAAAAGUAAUAUAUUAUUCAUAUUUCUUUAUUAUGAAAGUUUACAUAUUUGUGAGCUUAAAUUUAAACAAUAUAAAUUUAAAUAAGUAUUAAAAAUAUAUCAUAUUAAUAUUGAUUUAAUUCACACUAUUUUAAAUAAAUCAUAAAAAGAAACAAAGUUGGUGUAUAUUUAUGAGAAUAUAUAACAUCUAAACGAAAGAUAUAGUAUAUCAUAUGCAAUCAAGAGAAAUAAAGAAAAAUAAACGAUAUUAUUAGAUUAAUAUUUAAAUUAAUGAGCUAUUCAUUACCCUUAAAAAAGCACAUUGUAUACAGAUGAUAGAGUUUUCAAAACGUCAUUUUCCAAUGCAUCAUCGCCCAUUUUCUUUAUAACAUUAUCUUUUUCAGUCGUAUUUGUCAACAAAGUAGGGCAAUGUUACAUCAAAAUAUUUAACCAUAUUUUGACAUAAUAUAUUUAUAACUUUUUUCAUUAAAUUUAAAAUAAAUCAUCACAAUAACAAAUAAAUAAUAAAUUAAUAAAAAACAACGUAUAUGUUUAAUUAAUAUGUUGUAAAAAAAUAAUUUUUUUAACAAUUUUUUUACAAUAAACUAUUUUACUGGUGUGUAUAUUUAAAAUGGAUUAAUUACAAACUAUCGCAUAAAUCAUUAUAAAAAAAUUAUCAUAAAAAAGUUGUGAAAAAAACAUUUUCUAAAAAAAUUAAUGUAUGAAAAUAUUUUUUUCCUUAAAAUAUGCGAUUGUAUAGCAAAUCAAAUCCUUCGUCCUUUUCACUAACUUCUAACAACCUUCAUCAUUUAAUAAUGACUACAUAGUUCAACUAAAACAAAUAUCUAAAUGAUUCUAUAUAAGAUGUGGAAACAAAGCUACAAACAUCACAACACAACCAAAUAGCUUUUGUUUUGUUGAUUGAUGUCUAUAGCGAUGUUUUGCUAUGCAGCAGCAGCAAUUGCAGCAGUCUUCUGCAUAAUCUAUUUCUUCCAUCGGAGACUAUGUUGCAGAUACCCUCUCUUCACCGACUACCCCAUCAUCGGAAUGCUACCGGCGUUACUCUGCAAUCUGUGGCGCAUCCAUGAUUUUUCUGUUGAGGUGCUCAAAUCACAUGGGGGAACUGGUGAGUUCACUGGGCCAUGGUUUACAAACAUGAACUAUUUGAUCACCAGUGACCCCAUCAACGUGCACCAUAUUUUGAGCAAGAAUUUCAGCAACUACGUCAAGGGACCUGAGUUUCGUGAGAUCUUUCAGGCUUUCGGAGAUGGGAUAUUCACUGCUGAUGCAGAAACAUGGAAGUACAACAGGGAUCUCUUCCAGUCCCUCUUUAAAAACAGAAGCUUCGAGGUGUUUCUGGAGAAAACCAUUCGGAAGAAGGUGCAGAAUAGUCUACUUGUCGUGUUGGAUCAUGUGCAACAACAAGGGAGGGUGGUGGAUCUUCAAGAUGUCUUCAAUCGCUUCACCUUCGACAACAUAUGUUCCACAGUUCUUGGAUACGACCCUAAUUGCCUCUCCCUUGAUUUUCCAGAAGUUGCAAUCGAGAAGGCUUUUAAUGAAAUAGAGGAGUCCAUUUUCUACAGACAUGUAAUGCCAAAGCGUCUUUGGAAGCUGCAAAGAUGGCUUCAAAUUGGUCGAGAGAAGACGAUGACAGAAGCAUGCAAAUCGUUUGAUGAGUUCAUACAUGCACUCAUAGCGUCUAAGUUUGAAAAACUAAGCAAGUACAACGAAAAUAAAACAGGAGAAGCCUGUGCUGAUUUGCUGACAACUGUGAUGAGAGAGGGGAAGGAACAACACGAUGCUGGCUUUCUAAGGGAUGCUGUGUUCAAUCUUUUUGUAGCUGGGAGAGAUACCUUAACUUCAGCUCUCACAUGGUUCUUUUGGCUUGUUGCUACAAACCCUUUGGUGGAAGCGAAGAUUCUUGAAGAGAUGAAUGAAAAGAUUGGAAGAAAUGAAAAUACAGCAUCGAUUUUAACUAUAGAGGAAGUGAAAAAACUAGUUUAUCUGCAUGGUGCUAUAUGUGAAACAUUGAGACUCUUUCCUUCUAUACCUUUCGAACGCAAACAAGCCCUUGAAGCUGACGUGCUUCCUAGUGGUCAUGGUGUUAAUCCCAGAACAAUGAUAUUAUUUUCACUGUAUGCAAUGGGAAGAUUUGAGGAAAUAUGGGGAGAAGAUUGCAUGGAGUUGAAGCCAGAGAGAUGGAUUUCACAGAAAGGAGGUAUUGUUUAUGUACCAUCUUACAAAUUCGUUGCUUUUAAUGCAGGACCUAGGACAUGCUUAGGUAAAGAGUUGUCCUUUCUUCAAAUGAAGAUUGUUGCAGCUGCUAUUUUGCGCAAUUAUCAUGUCCAAGUGGUGGAAGGUUCUGUUGUUACGCCAAAUCUUUCUGUUGUUCUUCUCAUGAAGAAUGGUUUAAAGGUUAAGAUAACGAAAAGAGAAACUUAAUUUGAUGGACGUGGGAAUUUCUAUGUCAGAUCGAUGUACAAUGACUUCCAUAUGAUAUAAUGAAUCUUAUGUUGUCUACUUUCUGAGAAAAUGGAAAUGAUAAUGAAUAAAAGAAAGAAAAAUGAUAUUUUGAAACCAAUUUUUUGACAUUAUCUUGACACUGCACACGUGUCAAAAUGUGGU
rnacentral:lncRNA from 1 species